rnacentral:rRNA from 1 species
GGACGGUCCCCAGGUUUUCUUGCCGAGGUCUCAUUGUCCGCGGUGGCCCGCCGUCACGAUCGGGCGGGUGUCCUUGAUUGGGUGCCUGCUUUCGGACGUGACCCAUUUACCUUGAACAAAUCGGAGUGCUCAAAGCAGGCUCCACCACGCUCGAACGGUAGUGCAUGGAAUAAUGGAAGAGGACUUGUCUCCCCUUCUGUUGGUCUUGUGGAGGCAGGUAAUGAUCAAGAGGAACGGACGGGGGCAGAGGUAUGUCCUGGCGAGAGGUGAAAUUCUUGGACCCUGGACAGACCCUUGAGAGCGAAAGCAUCUGCCAAGGAUGUUUCCAUUGAUCAAGAACGAAAGUCGCGGGAUCGAAGAGGAUCAGAUACCCUCGUAGUCGUGACCGUAAACGAUGCCAACCGGGAAUCCGACGGCGUUACUUCCAUGACCCGUCGGGCGCCCGACCCGGGAAACCGAGAGUCUUUGGGUUCCGGGGGGAGUAUGGUUGCAAAGCUGAAACUUAAUGGAAUUGACGGAAGGGCACCACCAGGAGUGGAGCCUGCGGCUUAAUUUGACUCAACACGGGAAACCUCACCCGGCCCGGACACCGCGAGGAUUGACAGAUUGAGAGCUCUUUCUCGAUUCGGUGGGUGGUGGUGCAUGGCCGUUCUUAGUUGGUGGAGCGGUCUGUCUGGUUAAUUCCGAUAACGAACGAGACCCCGCCCUGCUAACUAGCCCUCAGGCCCGGCUUCUGGCGGGCCUGAUGGAAUGUUUGCUUCUUAGAGGGACUCGCAGGGUUUACCUGCAUGAAAAGGGGCGAUAACAGGUCUGUGAUGCCCUUAGAUGUCCGGGGCUGCACGCGCGCUACACUGAAUGCAUCAGCGUGCGCUUUGACCGUUCCCUGCCUGAAGAGGCCGGGUAAUCCGCUGAACCGCCUUCGUGACAGGGAUAGGGAUUUGCAAUUAUCUCCCUUGAACGAGGAAUUCCCAGUAGGCGCGAGUCAUCAGCUCGCGUCGAUUACGUCCCUGCCCUUUGUACACAACGCCCGUCGCUACUACCGAUCGAA